GCAGUAGCCGCGGUAAUACGUAGGUGGCAAGCGUUGUCCGGAAUUAUUGGGCGUAAAGGGCUCGCAGGCGGUUUCUUAAGUCUGAUGUGAAAGCCCCCGGCUCAACCGGGGAGGGUCAUUGGAAACUGGGAAACUUGAGUGCAGAAGAGGAGAGUGGAAUUCCACGUGUAGCGGUGAAAUGCGUAGAGAUGUGGAGGAACACCAGUGGCGAAGGCGACUCUCUGGUCUGUAACUGACGCUGAGGAGCGAAAGCGUGGGGAGCGAACAGGAUUAGAGACCCCCGUAGUCCCUGUCUCUUAUAC
rnacentral:rRNA from 1 species